rnacentral:rRNA from 1 species
GGUUGAUCCUGCCAGUAGUCAUAUGCUUGUCUCAAAGAUUAAGCCAUGCAUGUCUAAGUAUAAACUGCUUUAUACUGUGAAACUGCGAAUGGCUCAUUAAAUCAGUUAUAGUUUAUUUGAUGGUGCCCCUUACACGGAUAACCGUAGUAAUUCUAGAGCUAAUACGUGCGCAAAUCCCGACUCUCGGAAGGGAUGUAUUUAUUAGAUAAAAGGCCAACCGGGCUCGCCCGAUCACUGGUGAAUCAUGAUAACUUCACGAAUCGCACGGCCUCGUGCCGGCGAUGUUUCAUUCA